GAAUUUCGAAUUAUAUAUAGCCCCUUCAUUUCCUUGGAGUUGCUCACACUGCACUUAUAAUAGAAAGAUGGCUAAAUUAACUAUAGCAAAAAAAUUGUUUCUUCUUCUUUUGGUUUCAGGGGUGUUGAUGACAACUCUAGUGAUUGGAGAUAAGAGGUGUGAAGAUGUUUGGUAUGAUGAAAGGGUGAGUUAUAGCCUGCACAGGUCCAAAUGAGGAGAUUGAUGCAUCUGUGUACUGUCACACUUUCAUUGUCAACACGUAGUAUAAAUUUUAGUGGCGUGACAAAAAUUUUCCUACUUUGUUACCAAGAAACUUGUUUAUGGGUUUAUGAGAAAAUUGUUUAUUCCCCCAGACGUGGGGUUUAUUUUAUAAAUAAAAAAAGUUUGUGUUGAAUUGUUUA